GGUCAAUGAAACUGUGAACGCCACAUC
rnacentral:piRNA from 1 species